CAAGAAUCAACAUUGACAUUCAGUACAGUCCAUAACAUCACUGUCUGAUGCACAUAUGUGAAAGCUGAUGGAGAUGUCUUACUUGCUUGGAAACACAACCAGGCGUGUGACGAGAAACACCACUGCAAACACCACAAACAAGACACAGAGCAGCAGUGACCAGUAGAAGCCCAGCUCCAGCAUGUAAUACCAAUAGUGCAUUUUCAUAACAGGCUAAACACAAAGACAAACAGAUUUAGUGAUACUGCACAUUUUAAAACGAUAGGCUUUAAUAGAAUUACCAACAUUUUUGGAACAAGAUUCCAAAAGAUUUGGGAGUGUGUCUGUGGGUA